CAGCAGCCGCGGGAAAACGAAGGGUGCAAGCGUUACUCGGAAUUACUGGGCGUAAAGCGUGCGUAGGUGGUGGUUUAAGUCCGUUGUGAAAGCCCUGGGCUCAACCUGGGAAUUGCAGUGGAUACUGGGUCACUAGAGUGUGGUAGAGGAUAGUGGAAUUUCCGGUGUAGCAGUGAAAUGCGUAGAGAUCUGGAGGAAUACCGAUGGCGAAGGCAUCCAUCUGGCCUAAUACUGACGCUGAGGUACGAAAGCAUGGGGAGCAAACAGGAUUAGAUACCCGGGUAGUCCCUGUCUCUUAUAC
rnacentral:rRNA from 1 species